UACAGAGGUCUCGAGCGUUAGGCGGAAUCACUGGGCUUAAAGCGCACGUAGGCGGCCUGAUAAGUCGGGUGUGAAAGCCCUGGGCUCAACCCAGGAAGUGCACUCGAAACUGUCAGGCUUGAAUAUGGAAGAGGGUCGCGGAAUUCCCGGUGUAGAGGUGAAAUUCGUAGAUAUCGGGAAGAACACCGGUGGCGAAGGCGGCUCACUGGCUCAUUACUGACGCUCAGGCGCGAUAGCGUGGGGAUCAAACAGG
rnacentral:rRNA from 1 species